ACCACAGCCACAUCUCCUUCCUCAGCACCUGCCUAAGGAACCGACUGAUCCCACACGGACUCCGAACUACAUUCCAACCAACAAAAUUUGGCCGCCUGGGAACCCUCCAACCACAAGGCAGAACACACAUUUGAUGGAGAAGAAAAAUGCUAAAGAACUGCGGAUGCUGAAAAUCAAGAACAAGAUCAGAAAUCGCUGAAAAAGCUUAGCAUGUCUGGCAGCAUCUGUGGAGAGAAAACAAAGUUAACGUUUCGGAUCCAGUGACCCUUCUUCAGAAUUCUGACCAGCUGAGUUUUUCCUGAUUUUGUUACAUCGUUGACAGAGGCGAAAUGCGGAUUAUGGUCAAUGGAAUAAAUCCCUUCUUCCUCAAUGAUCAGGCAAAUACCAUUCCAGCUGAGUGGAACCGCCCAAGUGGAAAUAAAACAAAAUCGAAAUUUUUAAAGGUUGUAGUAAAAAGCAUCACUCAUACUACGAUUAAGCAGCUGAGCUUAAUUGCCUGAUCUACCAGCCUUUAUCACAAGUUGUCCUACUGGGAUGUGGAAUAGUCUGAUGGGCCAGGAGCUUCAGUCAGGCUGGAGAACCAGGUUUGAGGUCUUUUACACAAGAGGAGUGAUGUAAAGCUGCUCUAAAAACAGCCGCCAUUGACGCAUCUGCCUUGCUCAUCUGACUGAAAGUGCAAUCAAAUGUGCAUUAGUUGUGUGUGUCAUUGUACAGAGGGUCACUAUGGAAUAAACAUCAAGUAACAAAAAAAUAA